rnacentral:rRNA from 1 species
UACGGAGGGUGCGAGCGUUGUCCGGAAUCAUUGGGCGUAAAGGGCGCGUAGGCGGCGCGGUAAGUCACUUGUGAAAUCUCUGAGCUUAACUCAGAACGGCCAAGUGAUACUGCAGUGCUAGAGUGUGGAAGGGGCAAUCGGAAUUCUUGGUGUAGCGGUGAAAUGCGUAGAUAUCAAGAGGAACACCUGAGGUGAAGACGGGUUGCUGGGCCAACACUGACGCUGAGGCGCGAAAGCCAGGGGAGCAAACGGG